GUCAAGAUACUUUUCAAUCUUUUUCCGAAAAGCUGAAGUCGCCAUCCACAAGUAAAAAUCAGCAGGGUUGCCAAGAAGCAUCCAGGGGCAGUAUGUAUUUCCUGUCACCUCAUGCCACCGGCCCAGAGACACUACUUUGCGCUUUUGGAAAUCCAAGACCCUGUCUGCCUCCUGCUGUGGGUCAUCAGGCUCAUGAAGAGAGUGUGAGAGAUCACAUGGUGUUCAUGGAUAGUAAUAAAGGCAUGGUGGGGUAAGCAGAACCAAGGGAUGGGUACACCUGCCUGUUCUCUCUUUUUUUUGCUAUCGGAAGAAGACCACUACUCACCGCCGAUGCUCCACCUUCAUUCUAUGGUUGCGAUUGUUUAAAAAUAACUUUUCUAUUGUCUGUUUCUGUUCAGUGUUCACUAUUAAUUAGAAAAACUAUUUUUCAAUUGAAUAUUUUAAUGGCACACCUAAUAAAACAUAGUCGA